rnacentral:rRNA from 1 species
AUGCUGCAGAAGGAUGGGGGUAUUGAUGAAGAUGUGAACCAUCGAAUCAAAGCUGGAUGGAUGAAGUGGCGCCAAGCUUCUGGCAGUCUCUAUGACAAGAGAGUGCCACAAAAGCUAAAAGGAAAGUUCUACAGGACGACGGUUCGACCCGUAAUGUUGUAUGGCGCUGAGUGUUGGCCGACUAAAAGGCGACAUGUUCAACAGUUAUGUGUGGCGGAGAUGCGUAUGUUGAGAUGGACGUGUGGCUACACGAGGAAGGAUCGAGUCCGGAAUGAUGAUAUACGAGAUCGAGUUGGGGUAGCACCAGUUGAAGAGAAGCUUGUUCAACAUCGUCUGAGAUGGUUUGGGCAUAUUCAGUGCCGGCCUCCAGAAGCUCCAGUGCAUAGUGGACGGCUAAAGCGUGCGGAGAAUGUCAAGAAAGGUCGGGGUAGACCGAAUUUGACAUGGGAGGAAUCCGUAAAGAGAGAUAUGAAGGAUUGGAGUAUCACCAAAAAACUAGCUAUGGACAGGGUGCGUGGAAGCUUGCUAGCCAUGUGCCCGAACCAUGAGUUGAUCACGAGAUCUUAUGGGUUUCACCUCUAG